rnacentral:siRNA from 1 species
UAGGACUUUAGAGGCCUGUGUC